AAAAGAGAAGGAAUACAUGGCUAUUUAUAGGGCUUCUAAAUCCUAACUCCUAAUAGGACUCCUACUUAAGACUCUUACUUCUAACCAACUCCUAAUAGGACUCCUACUCAAGACUCCUAUUCCCUUACAACUCCUAAUUCUUCUCUAAGAAAAAACCUCCUACAUGAAUGCCCCUCUCAAUUAGGACUCUCCUAGCUAGAGUCCUAACAGAAUGUCACUCUCA
rnacentral:lncRNA from 1 species